rnacentral:misc_RNA from 1 species
GCAUGAGUAAUGAAUUCAUGAGUACAUUUUGAUUGUUCUGAUGGUGACCGGCUGAUGUUCUAGUUGCGAAUAUAUUUUCAUGAAUGUUUUUUAUUUUAUAUUUUUUUUACUUUCUGAUAUGUUGAAACAGAGUUGAUGAAUUUUAUAGAUUCAAGUAAAAAAUGUCCGAAAGAUUGACACAAUUUGUGAACUGCAAAAUUUUAAGAAAUCAUAAAAUUUCUCCUGAAGACAUAUGGGUUAGAAAUGGGAAAAUUGUCGACCCAGAAAAGAUAUUCUUUGAUGAGAAAGUUCAAGCAGAUGUAGUUGUUGAUUGCAAAGGAAAUCUUAUUGCUCCAGGAUUUAUUGAGUUACAAAUAAAUGGAGGUUUUGGAUUUGAUUUCUCCCACCAUGAGCACACUGAACAAGGAAUAAAUGUUGUGGCAAAAAAUUUGUUGAGUCAUGGAAUUACAUCUUUCUGUCCAACUGUGGUAACUUCGCCCAAAGAAGUUUAUCACAAAAUUCUAAAACGCAUCAAACAAAGGAAAGGAGACAAGAACGGUGCUACAAUAUUGGGAGUCCAUGCCGAGGGGCCUUUCAUAAGUAAAGAGAAAAAAGGAGCACAUCCUGUGAACUACAUUGUCGAGCAUGAUGGGACACUGUUUCAGUUUUUGGAACUCUAUGGCAGUUUGGAAAAUAUCAAAAUAAUAACUUUGGCGCCAGAAUUUCCUAAUUCCGACUCUGUAGUAAAGAAAUUAUGUGAGAAAAACAUAGUGGUAUCCCUUGGACAUUCUACAGCCAACUUAGCACAGGGGGAACAGGCUGUAAGAAAAGGUGCAACAUUUAUAACCCACCUAUUUAAUGCCAUGCUGCCAUUCCAUCACAGGGACCCUGGUUUAGUAGGACUUUUAGCUUCUGAUAACAUUCCAAAAGACAAAACUAUCUACUUUGGAAUAAUUUCCGAUGGAAUACAUACUCAUCCAGCUGCUUUGAGGAUUGCCUACCGGGUGCAUCCAGAGGGUCUGGUGUUGGUGACAGAUGCAAUAUCAGCCUUAGGUCUUGGAGAAGGAAAAUAUAAAAUAGGACAAAUGGAUAUCGAAAUCAGGGAACAAAAUGCCUAUGUUGCUGGAACUGAUACACUCUGUGGUAGCAUUACUUCAAUGAUACAGUGCGUUAGAUUUUUCAUGGAAGCUACUGAGAAUUUAUGUAGUUGAAGUUGCAAUGAUUCUGCGUUACAUGGCUGGCAGAUUGCAAAUAACCAUGAUAUUCCACAGGUGGCUCGGGAAGUUCUUAGCAUUGCAUACCCAGAACAUGAUGUUAAUGACCGAAGCAGUUGAUGCCGUUGACACAAAAAAAAACCUAAACUGUUGGUUUACAUUGUUUUCCACUCAGAAGUAACUUUUCAGGUUGUGGCACCGAAUAUGCCUUAGAAGCAGCCAGUUUGCAUCCUGCUAGAGUUCUUGGUAUAGAAAAGA